rnacentral:sRNA from 3 species
UGUAUCUGAAGUCUGACGAGGAUGAGAACCUCCGGGGGCAAGAGGUUCGACUCGAGCGAAGCGAGAGAACGUUGCGUCAGCAACGGCCCGCAGGGCGAGCCACGCAG